rnacentral:lncRNA from 1 species
UUAAGUGCCACCNAUUUUUUUGCAUGCUCAAAUUCCUUUUUUUUUCUUCAGAGAAUAGUGAAAAUAUAGUCCUCCAAUACUCAAUUAUGCAUGAGCCUUGCCCUGGGAAAACUACCCUUCAGAUCAGGAUGUCUCCUUGCCACAAGCAGCUUGAAAGGUAUUGUGGAAGAAGAGCAGACAGUUUUGUAAAUGGAGGAGGAAGGAGGGGAGCAAAAAAAAAGUUUUUUGGAACAGUGAACAGUAUGCAAAAGUUUGAGAAUACUUUUCAAGGUAUAGAAAAGAUAGAUGGUUGACCAAAAAGCUGUGGCUUGCAUUAAAGGCUGGAAAAGUUGGUGAUUUAGAGCUCUUCUAAUUGUAGAUGUAGUCAGCUGCUGAGUAGAUGAUGUCUAGGAGGCCUUUCUUCUCUAGGUUAUCUGAUUUUGUAAAGUCUUUGCGUAUUUGUAAAGUAUUCCUUCAAGACAGGUGGCCUCUAUUUGUAAAGUCUUUGUAUCUUUGUAAGGUAUUCCUUCAAGACAGAUGAUCCCUAUUCCCUUAUCUAAUACACUAAGAGAGCCUUUAAAAUAGGCCUGUCUGGUCUUUUGAAAAGUGAUUAUGGCAAAAAAAGGAAG